rnacentral:rRNA from 1 species
UACGAAGGGGGCUAGCGUUGUUCGGAAUUACUGGGCGUAAAGGGCGCGUAGGCUGUGCUGUAAGUCAGGCGUGAAAUCUCCUGGCUCAACUGGGAGCUUGCAGGCGAAACUGCCGUGCUGGAGUGUGGGAGAGGUGAGUGGAAUUCCCGGUGUAGCGGUGAAAUGCGCAGAUAUCAGGAGGAACACCAAUGGCGAAGGCAGCUCGCUGGGACGGUACUGACGCUGAGGCGCGAAAGCGUGGGGAGCAAACAGG